AAAUGAACCAGACACAGCCCUGGACAGAAACUUCCUGAUGAGAUACAUGAAAAUUCUGAAAUACAAAACAUAAUGAAUUGUAAACAUCUUUCUAUCCACGAAAGAUGGUCAUGAAUAUUUUCAGAGUUCCCCCAUGGAGAAGACUGCAAAAGCUGUUUUGAUACUUGACUUUCCUUGCCUGCUUUAUCACAUUUGAGAAACUACAAAUGGAGUCAAAUAAUCUCAUUUGGAGUCGGCUGAGUAAAUCCAGUAAUCCUCUAAUAAUAGCGACCUCAGGAUUAAUUUAAAAUAUAGACAAAUAACUCACCUAAAAAUAUCACCUCUGACUGAAUAAUAUCAAUCAGGAGUAUUUUACAAUAUAGACAACUCACCUAAAAAUAUCACGUUUGACUGAAUAUACCUUUGAUUUUUCAAUGUAGUAUCCUGAAGAUAUAUUUGGUGUAACAGCUCUUCAACAAAUAUUUAUAGUGUCAGGCAGUGUUCUAGGAGUUGUGACACAGUUGAGAACAAAAUAAACAAGUCUCUGCUUUCAUAAUGUAUACAAACGGUAAUAAGCAUUAAGAAAGAGAAGAAAAAGGAGGCAGGAAAUAGGCAUAGAGUGAGAUUAUAGUGAUAUUUUAUAUAAGGCAGUAAAGGUGGACCUUUUUGAUUUGAGAUACCUAUUUGUGCACAGACAAAUGAGGAAGCAGAAGCUGUGUGGCUAUCUAGGAGAAGAGAGUUUUCAGGCAGAAAGAAUGGGAAGUACAAAGGAUGAGGAACAUUAAGGAGACAGUGGGGCUGGAGUAGAGAGAGUGGUGGCAGAAAUUAGGAUCAGAGAGAUAAGACAUUGGAUUGUACUUUUUAAGGUAAAAAUUUACAUUUAAUAAAAUGCACAUAUCUUAAAGUACACAAGUAAAAUGUAGAAUAUUUCCAUCACCCUACAAAAUUCUCCUGUGACCCCUUCCAAUUAAUCUAAUUGCCCCACAGGUGACCACUGUUCUGUUUUUUUUUUUAAUCACCAUAGAUUCAUUUUAUCUAUUUUGAACUCCAUAU
rnacentral:lncRNA from 10 species